UCGUCUGUGGCGCGAGCGUCGCACCUCCUCCUCAACCUCCUCGAUCCGCGAUGCCCUGACUGCACUGCGCACGUGCGCCUCGCGAGCCAUGGCCGCCUUUUGCCGAGCUGCGGGAUCGACGUCUGACCGCCACCAUGACCAGCCUCUUGCUAAGGUCCCGGUCGCAGUCUCGUGUGCCUUUGGACCUUGGGAGCGACUGGGUGAUUAUAUGCCAGGUAAUCUAUUUUGCUGAAUUUGUUCAGAAGGAAAAUCCUUGAGGUACAACACUGACCCGCUUCCUUGCUGUCUCAUCUGUUUUGGUUGAGCUAGACGCCAAAAGCAAUAUUGCAACACCAUGCGUGAGGAACAUGAUUCUGCCAGUAUUUAAGCAUUAUACUUGCUAACACUGAGAGCUUAAUUAUCUUUGAUGCAACCAGUCCGUCCAAGCAUCCAAAUGUACGAUUCAUGUGCCUAGAAUCAGUACUUUUGCAUGUCUGAUGCAUGAAGAAAUAUCCAAAUUCGGCCAUUAAUUUCCCUUUUAGUACUUACUAAUGUUUUUUUAUUGUUUUGGUUGAUCCAGAGUUGAUUUGGGAUGUAGAGAUUAAAGAACAGUAGGGCGUCAGGUUCAGAAUUGCCUUGGUAUCUUCCAGUGUGGGACGAUGUUGAUUGUCGGGAUUUGAAGAUAAGUGUGCCCCAUCCCGUGGCUGAGCCUGUCGGUUUCGCACAGUGGCUGCACGACACCUCAUGGACCCGAUGUGAAGGUAGCAUAUACUAUUCUACAGUGUUUGCCCUCUGAAAUCUUAAUUGUUGGUUGUACAGUUAGUGCUAAACUGCAGUAAUCUACUGCACUUGCAUCUGAAUUUUACAUUUAAUAAGUUAAUGCUUGAGAGUUAAGAUAGAUCAGUAAUCUGGUUGGGGCUCUAUCUUUGUGGCAAUUUGGCAACCGUUGCUAGAGGUGAUAAAUCUGCAAGCAUAAAGUCAAUGUCCUGCUAUGCCGCAUAAUUACAGUGCUUUCACAUUAUGGUAAAUUUAUUUCCUAAAAGUAAAAUCUUUGUCGUGCCCAAUUCAUGGUGCAGGACAAGUAAGCCAUCCACACGAAGUCGGCGGCAGCAAGGGUGUGGGGCGUCGGGAGGAGCAUCUGGGUUGAAGGUUCUGGCCCUCGCCAUUGAGACUACCGUGUUCGUCGCCGAGUACAUCUGGUAUGUACGCAACGAACCUCCCUAAUGCAAUGUCACUGCUGUUUAUUUCAUCUUUUGAUUGCGGCAGACUAUAUUCCACUAAUGCACAUUAGGGAGUAGCUUUGGGAUAGGGGCCAAACCUGCAUAUUUUGAUCAAUUAUUUUUAUUAGAUUAGCAAUGGGAGCUUACUGUUCAGUGAGGAUUUUCCCCCUUAAAGUCAUAUUGUUAAUAUCCAAAAAAAUUAAUGGGUGGGUGGUGAUGUCCCACUGCUUUGCCCCUUUAAUUCCAGCACUUAAAUAAGAAUUGGAGGGCAGACGUUGCACAAAUGGAUCAUGUGGCAUUUACUACUGUUGUAUUAUCAUAUCUAGCAUCUCUCUAUAAAAAAUAAAUCUAGCAUUAGUUUUGAACUUAUGAUGAUGUAAGGUAAACACACAGGCAUAUCUUCGUCAUAGUUGCAUCCUUUAUAGCAGAGAUUUUGUUAUGAAAAAAUUAUUUUGUUGAUGGAAGUCUUUGUGCUUCUGUCACUUAGGACGUGAAGUUUUUGUAGACAAUCUUAGAACGUGAAGUGGGAUGCAACAUCUAUAGAUCUACUGACACUGAAAGGUGGUUGUUAGUUACGUUCUGAUUGUGCCAAUCAAUAAUACACAAUUGUUACUAGGGUUCGGCUACGGAUGCCAUCCAUCAACUCAUGUUUUAAAGUGUGCUUCUGAGAUGCAAUCCGAUCUCUCUAUCUUUCUCGCUGAGAUGUAGAGGAGCUCGGUGUUUUAGGGUCUGGCUGUUGCUGCAGGGGAAGGUGGAGCUGCGAGGAAACAAGACAGGUGGACAAUGCGACAGGAAGCAAGAAUGAAUUUCUAAUCAAUCUACUGUCUCCCUUGAGUCGGGGGGAACGUACCACGCACCACGUUGUGUUUAUUGAUCUGGAAUCCUAGAGGAUCACCGACCCUCAUAAUUCAGUAUCGAGAUGAUCUCCUUAAUUUCUCAAAUGUGUUUUAUUAAAUUGGAUUCCUGUAAUUAUCCUUGCUCUAAUUUGAUAGUUUUACCCUCCCGAGCAUGUUGUGCUUCCAUAAAAACAUGAAUAUUUCUCAGCCAUUUUAUUGAAAAUGUAGUCGUAUGCUUUCACAUUGACUCUGGAUAUUCUCCUAAACGAAGGUCAAGACCAAUUGAUUUUAUCGGCAACAGGAGGCGCUUAUCAGUCGCCAUCAAGUGCCUCAACCAGUGCGGCGUCCAGGUACACACAUUGCUUCAUCUCCUGUGUUAUCUGAUCGUCUAGACAAUAUAUCCAUGGGUGACCCCUGUACUCACCUCAUCUCCAGAUUAGAACAUAAGUGUCCGUAGGAGGGUAGGAUCUAGGCAACUGCAGUAUUGAUUGUCCAGCUAGGCAACAAAGUCGAUGGGGCAAAUAACAAAAUCUUCAUAUUAAGUUAUAUUCGAAAGUCAGUAGACUUUUCAUGAUUGCCAGUGGUAAAACAAGCAUAUAUUUCUUUUGAUUAUUGACAUAGCACAGCUUAGUAGAGUGGACCAACCAACAUUGGGUUUGGGAGGUCAUUUAAUAGGAAACACUUCGCUGCAAGUUUCUUCACCAUUGAACACAAUUCAUCACAAGACUUUAUAUUGUUGGCUGUCAUGCAUGUACGUUUGCAACUAAAUAAUUACAGGAUGUUGUGUGCUUGUUCUAUGUCCAGCAGUAAAGAUGUUUGAAGUUUUGUACCAGUUUCCAAUAGAUCAUUUCCUACAACAAUAUUUGUUUUGCAAUCCAAACAAGUAAAUGUCUUGUAAAGAAGUAGAUGUUUAUGCAUAUCAACACACCAUUCAAGUUAUUUACAGAAUGAUUUUCUUGGAGCGUUCAUAAUUUCACGUAUGUUUACAUCAUUAUUCAUGUGUGGGUUGUAUUGUGUUUUCUUUCGUGGGGUGCCGGAUGCGCUACUGACGGUACUAGCAUGUUUGGGCUGGUGAGACAGAGAUGGUAUGCGGAGUAAGAAGAGUGAUUUAAGGGGAGAGAACAAUGGAUAAAGGAAAUCACAUUACUAAUAGAAUG
rnacentral:lncRNA from 1 species